UACGUAGGGGGCAAGCGUUGUCCGGAUUUAUUGGGCGUAAAGAGCGUGUAGGCGGCCAUACAGGUCCGUUGUGAAAACUGGAGGCUUAACCUCCAGACGUCGAUGGAAACCGUGUGGCUAGAGUCCGGAAGAGGAGAGUGGAAUUCCUGGCGUAGCGGUGAAAUGCGCAGAUAUCAGGAAGAACACCCGUGGCGAAGGCGGCUCUCUGGGACGGUACUGACGCUGAGACGCGAAAGCGUGGGGAGCGAACAGG
rnacentral:rRNA from 1 species